CACGCCCUAAACGUUGCUCUCUCGCUAUUAGGAGUAUCGACCCUCCUAGUGGCUUAGCUAACGCGGUAAGAGAGCCGCCUGGGAAGUACGAGCGCAAGCUUAAAACUCAAAGGAAUAGACGGGGAGACGCACAAGCAGUGGAUUAUGUGGUUUAAUUCGACGGUAAACGAAGAACCUCACCAGGAUUUGAAACCAAGUUGAAAGGUCUAGAAAUAGAUCCCUCGCAAGACAUUUUGGCAGGUGA
rnacentral:rRNA from 1 species